AGGGUAUCUUAUAAGGUGCAUAUUGUGCCUUAACAUACCCCCAUUUUUUCACCAAUAUAUGCCAAAGGUAAAAAAUAAUUUUGUGCAUUUUUUACAUACGGCUUGCAUUUUUGCUGGGCAUUUUGUAUAUUUCAUAUGUGCCACUAAGUUUAAACCCCCCAAAUUAUGCUCAGCUAAGUCUUCUGAGUAAAACAAUAUGCCCAAUGUAUGACCUAGACACUAUUUUGUGAAGUUACACUGCUCGUGACAAGUUCAAGUUUUUAAGUGUGAAUUUUCAUGGAGGGUUUUGAUGCGUCCGUGUUCCACUUUGGAGCACUUGAGCAGGCUACAUAUUACAACUACACCAUAAAGGCCUACCAUUUCUUAAAGUAGACACCCCAGGGUAUUUCAAAAGGUAUAGUUUGAACCUUAGCGUGGGAUCAUUUUUCCGCUAGCUUGUACCAAGUGUAGUGGUAAUAAGCCUUUUUGACACACAAAGUGAGUUUGCACAGUAUAUUUUGCAAACCUUGUGUGCUACGACUGUUGCUCAGCUAUGUCGGCUGAGUACAGCAAUACCCCCGUAUGUACCUUUGCCAGGUAUAUGUGGACAUCGGAGGGGCACAUUUGGGACACAGCCAUUCCAGUUUUUUUCAAACUUUACAUUUUUACGCUGUGUCCAUGUCCCAUUUUGGAGUAGUUUAGACGGUUGGUUAUUGAAACUUCCCCACAAAC